GUUUGUUUUGUGGCUGAAAUGAUGGAGGUCAUAUGUGCAAAUGUAAAGGGAAACAUGGACAUCAUACACCCAUACAAACUGCACAUGCAAGGAAUUGAAGUGGUCAUCUCCUUAGCCUAUAAAUACAUCCACCAUUCCCCUUCCUAAGAACAAUCUUGAUCCAUCAAAAGAGCUCCAUUCCAUUCCAUCCAUACAUCCAUAAAUCCCACAUUUCACAAACACAAAUACAUUUUCCUUCCCUUGGCCGAGACAUUCACCAAUCCUAAAUACAUUCCUAACAUUUCCAUAUAUCCAUACACAUCCUAGACACUUGUGCCGCAACAAAGAGAAGAAGGAGGACCCUUAGACGUGCUUGCCAUUCAAGUUGGAUUGUUGGAGCGUUUUUAGGUGUUUUCAUUCUUUUAUUUGCAAUGUCUAAAUUUGUUUAUCUUUGCUUUGUGAGUAUGAGGAACUAAACCCCCCUUAGCUAGGGGGAAUUCGAAACCAUGUUCAUGCUUGCAAUAUGAUUUGAUUACUUUCAGUUAUGAUUCAUAAGUUGUGAAUUCAAUUUACUUAUCCAUUUGAAUUAAAACUUAUUUGUGUAUGUUGGUUGAGAGUGCACGCUUAAUUUUCAUGCAUAAAUCUGAUGCUAGGAUAUAAGGGAGUUUCACCUAAUCGUUAUGAACUUAUAUUCACAAGUAGUGAAGGUUUCUCUUCACAACCGUGUUAAGUAAAUUCUUGGCAUAAGUUUCAUGCAAUUCAUAGUUACAAGUGUUUCGUCAUUGCUUAUGAUUUUCAUAGAACUUAAUGAUUCUUGCUUGUAUCUCUAUUAUGCAAUUCAUGUAGAGAACUUGUGGGGAAUGCUUUGGGUUGUUGUAUGCAAUCAUCCAAUUCAAUGAAAUUAGGAAAAUUUGAGGGUUAAUUAGUGCAAUUCAUAGUUAAUCUGGGGCGUUGAGAAUUAGUAGUUUAUUGAAAAGCAACUCGAAAUCGUUUUGUUUGCAAGUGUGUCAUG
rnacentral:lncRNA from 1 species